UACGGGGGGGGCAAGCGUUGUUCGGAAUUACUGGGCGUAAAGGGCUCGUAGGCGGCCAACUAAGUCGGAUGUGAAAUCCCCAGGCUUAACCUGGGAACUGCAUCCGAUACUGGAUGGCUUGAAUCCGGGGGAGGGAUGCAGAAUUCCAGGUGUAGCGGUGAAAUGCGUAGAUAUCUGGAGGAAUACCGGUGGCGAAGGCGGCAUCCUGGACCGGCAUUGACGCUGAUGAGCGAAAGCUAGGGGAGCAAACGGG
rnacentral:rRNA from 1 species